UGUUCGGGUUGUCAUGCCAAUGGCACUGCCCGGUAGCUAAAUGCGGAAGAGAUAAGUGCUGAAAGCAUCUAAGCACGAAACUUGCCCCGAGAUGAGUUCUCCCUGAGACUUUAAGUCUCCUGAAGGAACGUUGAAGACGACGACGUUGAUAGGCCGGGUGUGUAAGCGCAGCGAUGCGUUGAGCUAACCGGUACUAAUGAACCGUGAGGCUUAACCUUACAACGCCGAAG
rnacentral:rRNA from 2 species